AUAUCCCCAGGAGUUUCCGUUGUCCUUCAUAUGAAACAUGGCCUGAAGGUGACAUUGACAAAAAGAAGCAUCUGAGAUAAAGUAAUCUUAGUUUAUAAUAACUGAUUGUGUUCACCUUCUAUAUGUAAGGUUUGUAGUAAUGUUGAAAUUUAAUAAUUUGUAUUGUGUUCCCACCACAACAGCGCACUACUAUUGCGGUGAAACACAAGUUUACAUAACUCUUCAUAAUGUUUGAGACUCAUGCUGUCCUUCCCAAACCGAAAGACUCCCCACAGUUUUUCCCUCCUAUUAUUUCGUACUGUUCUUCUAAGUAACCGACUAACCAAUCGAAAAUUUCUUCAAAUUAUAGAAGUAAAAGGAUUAAAAGCCAACAACAAUGCCUUCCAUGCUAAACACCGGUUAUUCAAUUGUUUAUCUGAAAUGACAUACGAAGAUGACUCAACCAAAAGACCAUAUUAUAAUAAGCAAUACAAUUUCUCCCAUGUAUACAGUCCCUCCCUUCCCCAACUCAACAAUCUUACCGAUAUUUUGCCUCUGCCGCCACCUGCAUUAUUCCCUCCUGCAGCCUGAACAGCUUUCUUCGCCGCCUUCUCCUGCAAUGCUUUUGCAUCCCUGCACGCGAAGUAAACAUAAUGUCAGAUUGCAUCAUCCCUCGAUAUUACAACCAUUUUGCAGCCACAAUUGGUCGCAGCAUUCGGUGAUAAUUUUACCAACUUUCGUAAUUACUGUGGGUGCAUGAAUAUUUGCAAAUUCGUCAUUUUCUAGAACACGAUUCCUACAACAACAAAAAAAUCGUUUUUCAUGUAAAUUUAAACACGCAAAUUUCCAAUAGCAUAAACAGAGAAAGCGAACAAAAGCAACCUUUCCUGCGCUGUUGAGGAGUGAAACCAUCAUUCUUAAGGUGCUUGGAUUUUCCAGCAGCUCUUGCCUGAGCCCUUUCACGGUCUCGGUCCCUCUGGUUACCGCGUUCGCUUUAGUUAAGUCCAAACAACUGUAUUCAGUGAACAAAAAACUACUAACUUCCAUGACAAUUCAUUAAAAAGAAACGAAAACACAAAAAAACAAGACGACGGUCCAUAUGAAAGGAUAUGAGUCAUGC
rnacentral:lncRNA from 1 species